rnacentral:rRNA from 1 species
GCUACAAGUCGAACGGUAACAGGAAGCAGCUUGCUGCUUCGCUGACGAGUGGCGGACGGGUGAGUAAUGUCUGGGAAACUGCCUGAUGGAGGGGGAUAACUACUGGAAACGGUAGCUAAUACCGCAUAACGUCGCAAGACCAAAGAGGGGGACCUUCGGGCCUCUUGCCAUCGGAUGUGCCCAGAUGGGAUUAGCUAGUAGGUGGGGUAACGGCUCACCUAGGCGACGAUCCCUAGCUGGUCUGAGAGGAUGACCAGCCACACUGGAACUGAGACACGGUCCAGACUCCUACGGGAGGCAGCAGUGGGGAAUAUUGCACAAUGGGCGCAAGCCUGAUGCAGCCAUGCCGCGUGUAUGAAGAAGGCCUUCGGGUUGUAAAGUACUUUCAGCGGGGAGGAAGGCGAUAAGGUUAAUAACCUUGUCGAUUGACGUUACCCGCAGAAGAAGCACCGGCUAACUC